CUCAAGAUGUGCGGUUUUCCUCACAUCCGUGAUAUUCCGCGGGUGUGGGUUGGGGUUAUUCCGCUAAUGGGGCGGAGAGGGAUGAACGUCCGCGACUUUGGUGAAGCCCAAGGGCUGAGGAUUG
rnacentral:scRNA from 1 species